UGCUGGACCUGAUGCAGCAGCUGCAGGACCUGGGCCACCCCCCRAAGGAGCUGGCGGGGGACACGCCCCCCGGACUGAACCUGGAGCUGCCGGGGGGCGUCAGUGGGGAGCAGUGCCGCCUGAUGUAGGGCGGCUUUGGGAUCGGCUUUGGGAUCGGCCGGCCCUAAUGACGGCGCUAACGAGGACGAGGAGGAUGAAGAGGACCCCGAUUUUGGGGUUUUUUUGGGGGGUGGGGGGUGCAGGGACCCCCCUGUUUGGGGCGGUGUCCCCCCCUCACUCCCCCGGUGUCCCCAAUAAAGAGUUGGUGACG